rnacentral:lncRNA from 1 species
CCAUUAGCUAGGACUGGGUUGCUUUUAUUCUUUCUCAAAUUGGGUCCUUGAGAAUGAGUGGGAGUGCGUCUUCAUAGAAAUGUUAUCAGUUGUCUCAACAUUUUGCUUGUUUCUGUUUGAUGUGUGAUUAUCAUGUGCAUCUCUCUCAGGGAGGUUUGAUGUGUGAUUAUCAUGUGCAUCUCUCUCAGGGAGGUUUGAUGUGGGAUUAUAAUGUGCAUCUCUCUCAGGGAGGUUUUAUGUGUGAUUAUGUGUACCUCUCUCAGGGAGGUUUGAUGUGUGAUUAUCAUGUGCUACUCUCUCAGGGAGGUUUGAUGUGUGAUUAUAAUGUGUACCUCUCUCAGGGAGGUUUGAUGUGUGAUUAUAAUGUGCACCUCUCUCAGGGAGGUUCGGUGUGUGAUUAUAAUGUGUACCUCUCUCAGGGAGGUUUGAUGUGUGAUUAUCAUGUGCUACUCUCUCAGGGAGGUUUGAUGUGUGAUUAUCAUGUGCUACUCUCUCAGGGAGGUUUGAUGUGUGAUUAUAAUGUGUACCUCUCUCAGGGAGGUUUGAUGUGUGAUUAUCACAUGCACCUCAGUGUGAGCUUGAACUCAUAAAGACAGACCAGAGUAUACCA